rnacentral:ncRNA from 1 species
CCAAAAGCAACGAUGAGAAUCAGUACCUGGCACAGGCGGCUCAGAGAGACGGUGGUAGGUGUGAACCGUCCCGCCGGGUCGGGGAAUCCAUCUCGGAGCUGCGCGCGGACGGAUAGCCGUGAAGCGCUGCCGGUCCGGCGGACCGUGAUCCCCGCCGUGGAGAGGGCCGAAACCUGUUUCGGCCAAUGAGGGUGGCAACGCGGAACUUCCGUCCCUUGG